UACAGAGGGUGCGAGCGUUGUCCGGAAUCAUUGGGCGUAAAGGGUGUGUAGGUGGUUAUGUUAGUCUCCUGUAAAAUUCUUCGGCUUAACCGGGGGCGUGCGGGAGAAACGGCAUGACUAGAGUGUGCGAGGGGUCUGUGGAACUCAUGGAGUAGGGGUGAAAUCCGUUGAUAUCAUGGGGAACACCAAAAGCGAAGGCAGCAGACUAGCGCAUUACUGACACUGAAACACGAAAGCGUGGGUAGCGAAUGGG
rnacentral:rRNA from 1 species